rnacentral:rRNA from 1 species
AGUGAACGCUGGCGGUAGGCCUAACACAUGCCAGUCGAACGGCAGCACAGUAAGAGCUUGCUCUUACGGGUGGCGGGUGGCGGACGGGUGAGGAAUACAUCGGAAUCUACUUUUUCGUGGGGGAUAACGUAGGGAAACUUACGCUAAUACCGCAUACGACCUACGGGUGAAAGCAGGGGAUCUUCGGACCUUGCGCGAUUGAAUGAGCCGAUGUCGGAUUAGCUAGUUGGCGGGGUAAAGGCCCACCAAGGCGACGAUCCGUAGCUGGUCUGAGAGGAUGAUCAGCCACACUGGAACUGAGACACGGUCCAGACUCCUACGGGAGGCAGCAGUGGGGAAUAUUGGACAAUGGGGGCAAGCCUGAUCCAGCCAUACCGCGUGGGUGAAGAAGGCCUUCGGGUUGUAAAGCCCUUUUGUUGGGAAAGAAAAGCAGCAGGUUAAUACCCCGCUGUUCUGACGGUACCCAAAGAAUAAGCACCGGCUAACUUCGUG